GCCUUUGUUGCAAGAGUAGGAGUAGGAUAGUUUUUUUGGAUCCAGUAAACAUUUGAAAAAAUACUGUUAGCGUAGUCACUGUUGAUGUAAAAGUUAAAAUUCUUUCUUGGGCUAGCUUCGUCGUUUCUCCAAGGGUCACAAAUAUUCGCGAGCAUCCCGACAGUUAAAAGACAAUGGCGAUCUCCGCAGCGUCGCUUGCUGGUCGAAUAGCGUUGGUGACGGGAGGAGCUUCCGGAAUCGGUCGCGCUGUUUGCGUUGCCUUUGCACAAGAGGGCGCCCGGUGUGUUGUAGCGGAUCGAAAUAUCAGCGAUGCACAGAGGACUCAACACAUUCUCGAAAAAGCGCACGACGGAGAACAUUCAGCUAUAGAAAUGGACGUCUCUAAUAGCCAUUCUGUUUCGUCGGGAUUCAUACGAUUGAAGGAGCUUCAAAGUCGACCUGCCGAUAUUAUUGUCAAUUGCGCAGGUAUUACUAGUGAUGGAUUUCUGCUUAACAUGACGGAAACUAUGUUUGAUGAGGUCAUCAAGAUCAACCUCAAGGGAACUUUUCUCGUAACACAACAAGGGGCUAAAGAGAUGGUGGCCGCUCAGCUUCCUGGAUCAAUUGUCAACAUUUCGUCAAUUAUGGGUAAAACGGGUAACAUCGGCCAAACGAAUUACGCUGCAUCGAAAGCUGGAGUUGUCGGUUUUACAAAAUCAGCCGCUCAGGAACUAGCCAAAUUCAAUAUAAGAUGCAAUGCUGUAAUGCCGGGUCUCAUUGAUACCCCAAUGAUAACAACUGUUCCCGAAAAGAUCACAAAGCUUGUCGUAGACAAGAUCCCGCUACGCCGAAAAGGCUCGCCUGAAGAGGUUGCGGAGGUGGUUAGAUUUCUGGCAUCGAACGAAAGCUCCUACGUCACCGGAGGUGUAAUUGAAGUAACCGGAGGUCUAUUCAUGUAGCACAAAGAAGCUAAUGUUGUCUAUCAUUUAAGAUGCUGUGUUAUUGGUAUUGGGAGCUGGCAUUGAUGCGUAAUGCAUCGCUGAUGCAACGAGAAGUAUUCUUUGUCUGUAUAGGUAAUAACUGAGACACAUAUUAUAUUAGUUAAACGGUCAGGUACAAAGCAGUUUAAAACUUUCAUGUACAGUUUUUGAAUAGAAUUCGCGUUCUUUAGAUAUACAAAAUGUCCCUUUAUUUUGUUUGUCAGGUAGCGUGCUUGAAUAAUUUUAGAUGAGAAACUUUAUACCAAAAGCAGCCUUGUUAUAUGAAAAGAAAAUUAUAAGGGGAAUUUUUAAAUUCAGCCACUUGGCAGUUCGAGUGGAAAUAUAAACUAUUUUAAAUCGUACUUGCCGAAAACGAAUAUGGAAAGCACUAAUUUGGGGGGUCUAUCCUCGUGGGCCGGUGGGACUGAAUGUAGACCCUAUUUAAUGUGAGCUAAACGGCCAAUGUACAACAGAAACAAAGAGAAGCUGGAGAUUAAGAAGUACAUAAUGACAUUAUCAAGGCGUCACUAAUACAGUACAGCGUUAGCAGACAUGGAAUGCGUUUUGUAAAAAAAAAAAAGUAAUCUAUAGGAAAUUAAUUGUAUAACGCUGGAUCAAUGGUAAAAAUGAUUGCUUCAUGAGCCAUGACGUUCCGUAAUGGCUUUUUGUCGACUUACGGAGCUGACCUGUUGUUAUCGGUCGACCAUAGCUUUGUCCCGGCCCUUGUCUUUAGUCUUCGUUUAAAUUUAACUCUGUUUUCUAUCACCUCUUCUUCUAGGAGUAGUAGCCUUCUGCGGUUUUCGACUCCCACCUUUUCUUCCAUCCCUUUUAUAUUCAUUGUCUUCUAGCGUCUCUCACCGCCCCCUUCCUUUUGUCCUUCUUUCGCGCAUUUGCUUCGGGUAACAGGACGAUGACCAAAACCGAUGACAGUGGAAGCAGCGACGAUAAUAGCUGGAUAGCGAUUGGAUGGAUAUUGUAAUGAAUAUCAUCUUUAGUUGUUGCCUUUAAAUAAAGAGAAGUAUAUUUUUUUCUUUAAUAUGUCAUAAGCUCUCUUCUUUCCAUGAAGCGCAAAACCUUUUGUUAGAACUACGCUCACUUUUAAAUAGUUAAUCAAAUUUAAUACGUGAAAUGUCAACCCAUGUGACUCGAUGGUUCGGGUACGUCAAAGCGCAUAUAUUGCCUGAUAUGACACUGUAGCAUUUUAGGUGACUGCCUUUGACAUUAAGAUGCAAACAUUUAAAUAUACGGAGUUUGCCUUGCCAUUUGCAUACAGAAGGAUAUUUCUACUACGCUAUAAAGUUUGUUAAUAUGUUAUAUACAAUGACGGAUUGAUGGCUACAUAGUUUUCUAUCGACGACACAUCGUGCGAUGUCUGGCCUGAAAAAGCUCUCCACCUGACGCGGCUAAGUGGGCACCCUCCACUAUGUUAGAUCGACCGAGAAAAGUGGUGACGAGAUAGAGCGGUGACUAAGCUGUACGCCGGGUGAAACGGAGUUCUUCAUUAAAGAUCAGUUAACGCUGCUCGCUGGUUCAACCAAGUAUAUGCGGUGUAGCAUUAUGAUACAGCAAUGUCAACUUGUAUUGAUUGCCAUUUGCCAAUUUCGGUUCGAACGGACGGGCCUAUUUGCGCAAUAUUCUCCUGGGGUUUGGAUUACUUACAGCAUGACGUGCGUUUAGAGAUGUCGUAAAAGAUUAAUCUUCCAUUGCCAGUAACGAUUCCGCAUAGAAGUGGCUUUCUCUUCUCUCAUUCAGGUAACGCCAGAAAUACCGUCAGGUACCUCUUGUGUCUGUCCAGUGAAUUUUUGGGCGUACACUUUCUCUAAUUUUUUCGAUAUUUCCUAGUGCAUGCAAACUAUUGACAACAGUCCUCUAGGUUACUCACAGCUCUAGAGAGAGCUUUCACGUCAAUUGCGCCAUAUAUUUUCCACGGAAUACUCCCAGAUACUGUCGUUCUAGAGCUGUCCAAAGCGUGGCUUGUUGUUGAAAUUACGAUACCUGCUCUGAAGCAAUUAAAGUAAAAGUAACAAGCGGUAACGCUUACUGCACGUUCAGCUUUGGCUACUUAUUUUUUUCUGGGCAAUAUUUUUCCACCGCGAACAUAGUAAAUAAGACAAUGUUGCAUAUGGACCCUUUUGAGCUCAAUGACCAAACAUGCCGGAGCACCACUUCUAACGACAACAUCUUAGUGAAAAUGUCUGGGCACACGCCUACUAUAGUAAAAACGACCAUCCAAAAGAUAUUAAACUAGAUCCUAUUAGAAGAUUCUACUAGUGCAAUCGAUUGGCUUUACCGGAAACCUUCUACUCGGCCUAAUAAGAUGGUAACCUAUGUAAAACUAUGUGAUAUCAAAACAUAAAUGUGUGAGGACGUGGUAACAUGUAACGAGACGGCAACGUUCAGCGUAAUUUCGGUUACAAGAUCUCUCAUAACGUUGGCAGGGAAAACCUUACCUUAAUUCGCGCUAGCCGGUUGACGGAUGACAUCAUGAAACUCCUGCGUAACGUGUUGACAGUCUUUCUGUUUCCUCUUAUUAAUAUGAUAUAUAGCCUUUCAAUAUCAAAAAUCCAAUAAUAGGACUCUCUAUCGCAAAGAAACCUAUCUUUCGGCAAGAUGUUCAACAGGACAAUAUUGUUAUGCAUUAAAAGAUAAUUUUGACCUUGGCUUAUUUGGCAUUGUACACCAAGAGAAAAUGACCAUGUAAAUCUAUCUACUAUUGCUUAUUAAUAAAAAAAAAAAAAAAACUUAACCCUCCCAUCCAAUCAAUGCAUAGUACUUUUACUCUAAUAUUCCGUAUGAAUAUGCCUUACACAGUCAGUGUAGUGGCGACUAAGCUAACGCUGAACUUCAGAUAGCUGGCAACAACAACCCUAAUGAUCCUAUGUCUGACGAGAGAACUGAGUGAGAUUCAUAAAUACCAACGAGUAGAAGUAGAGUGGUCAGUGAAUGACGAGUGACGGCGGAAAGCUGAUGAACGAUUGGUCUUGAAAGUGGUUUACAGGUCGUCGACAAAACAGUACGACGAAGGAAAUAAGACGCACAAGCUAUAUAAGUAAUAACGAUGAGUCGACAAUGAAGCCAGCGUGCGUCUAUAGAAAAGGACGAUAGCGAGCCUGUUGCUACAUCUGGGGAAUGCAGACGAUUCCGUCGGAGCAUUGACAUGCUACACAAGGGUACUGGAGAUGGAGUCUGAAGCAAUAGAACAUCGCAUAAUAGCACGUAACAUAAAUCAGCUAGAUGAUUAAACGACGCAUUUUUACAACUCCUAGAACUUUUUAAGCAGAUAAACCACACCAUCAUUCGGGAGAGAAAAAGAUAGCAUUGAUCUGGGGAUCUGAUUCUCGAUACAUCCGUUGAUCUAAUAAUUGUCGUUAACCAGGGUCGUUUGCAGCACGAUCGUACAACAAAACGUUUUUAUAACAGACUAUUGGUACAUCUUUUACUAUACUCUUUAUUGUUCAACCUCAGCUUUUACCAAUUGUCUUAAUAGGAUAAUAAGACCAUAAUAAUAUUUGGCUCAAGUGAGAUUUCAUGUGGUAGUUGCAUUUAAUCGCAGCUUCGUUCCCAGCUAAAAUGUGUUAAUUUUAGACAACCUAAGGAACAUAUUCUUGAACUAUCUUUUGAGUGUUAUCUUUUGCUUAUCUUUACAAAUUACCUGAUAAGCUUGUUUAUCAGACCAAAGCCGCAUAGCUCAAAUUUGCCAGUAGCAGUUUCCCAAAUCAGUGUGAUUUGAUACAAUAUGAAUAGACUUCUAA